rnacentral:tRNA from 1 species
UGGGGUGUAGCUCAGUGGUAGAGCACUUACCCAGCAUGUGCAAGACCCUGGGUUCCAUUCCCAGCACCACGG